AAUUUCAAACAACCACUCUUCCUCCUUAGUACUCUCUUCUUCUUCUUCUUCUUCUUAUAACCCAAUCAACAGAGAAAAAGAAAGCAGUUUCAGUUUGAGAUUCAGAUCGGAGAAAGUGAUGGUGAUUCAUAGAAUUGAACUAUGCAUAUCUAUGGUUAGAAUGGCCAUAGAGUUUGUUAUGGCAGUUGCAGAAACGGUUGUUAUUGUUCAAGAAAGAAACACCGACCCUUUUGUUCCGUUCAGCCGUGCAAAUACUCCUCUUCCUUUUCACGGUUAUCUUCGUUGAUGAUUUCCAUCUAGCUUGUUUUUUUUGCUUCAGUUUGUGUUGUUAAUUUCUGUUUCAUAAAACUCUGUACAUAUAGUUUAGAUCAGUACAUAAUUUUCCCUUUUGGUUUGCAUCAUGUUGUAUUUGAUGCAAAACUGUGUAAAGGAAAAUUGAUAAUACCCAUGUUUUUAGGGUUUGUUUUUAUUCAAACUCUUGGUUAGUUUCCAAGAUUAUGAUGCACAAGUUAUGUUGAUUAUGAAUGAAAGAAUGAAUUGAUUCAGGUAUUUCUAUUUCUUCAUUUCUUCUUGUACUGUUUGCUGGUCCUCUUUGAGAAAUCUAUGCUUAAUUUUCUCCUUCUUCUUUAUCUUUCAUUGAAAUUCGGGAAAAAAAAUCCAAUUUUCUUUGUAUUUUGUACAAGCAACAGAAACGGACACAAACAACGCUCUGUUUCUAUGUCUUGUUUUUCUUUUCCUUUUUUUAAUAUAUUUUUUGGUUGAAAGGUUUCCGGCAAUUUUAUAUAAUUAGCUUUUAUUUUUAAAUUAGAGAUUCCAUUCCAAAAAUAAUUGAUGUAGUUUACAAGUUUGUGUUAGUCUGAAUUUUUUUUUAUAAAUUUAAUAAUAUAACUGAAUUCAAACUAAAAAUAUCUAAUUAAAUUAAAAGAGAUCUGUAUUACUUAUUUUAUUUGAUAACUACUUUUGAGGUUAUGAAAUGAAUGUUGAGUCCAUUCUGGUUUAUGAUAAGGAUUUUAGAAACGAUAUUUAUGAAUCUCAUUAAAUAUGAAGGGGGAGGGAGUGGCUUUUAGCAACUGACUUUCUUCACCUAACAAAGACUUACCUGCGACUUGACUUGCCAUUUGGGAUUUCGAUUUCCUAGGUGAGAUGUCCUAAAGAAUCUCUUACUUAGGAAAACAAAAUGGUUUUAUUGUUCCAAUAUAAAUAUGAUUUUGACAAAAAAAAAAUUUCAAGUAAUUUUAUG
rnacentral:lncRNA from 1 species